AUUGAACGCUGGCGGCAUGCCUUACACAUGCAAGUCGAACGGUAACGGGUCCUUCGGGAUGCCGACGAGUGGCGAACGGGUGAGUAAUAUAUCGGAACGUGCCCAGUAGUGGGGGAUAGCUGCUCGAAAGAGCAGCUAAUACCGCAUACGACCUGAGGGUGAAAGGGGGGGAUCGCAAGACCUCUCGCUAUUGGAGCGGCCGAUAUCAGAUUAGCUAGUUGGUGGGGUAAAGGCCUACCAAGGCAACGAUCUGUAGUUGGUCUGAGAGGACGACCAGCCACACUGGGACUGAGACACGGCCCAGACUCAUACGGGAGGCAGCAGUGGGGAAUUUUGGACAAUGGGCGCAAGCCUGAUCCAGCAAUGCCGCGUGCAGGAAGAAGGCCUUCGGGUUGUAAACUGCUUUUGUCAGGGAAGAAAUCUUCUGGGCUAAUACCCCGGGAGGAUGACGGUACCUGAAGAAUAAGCACCGGCUAACUACGUGCCAGCAGCCGCGGUAAAAC
rnacentral:rRNA from 1 species